GAAACCGAGGCCUUUUCGGGCGGCCUUUUAUGAAAUGCCGCAGCACAAAAGGCUUCCCAAGAUGCUUGCUGAAGUCUGACCAUCUGAGACUACCAUAAGUCUACGCUUUGUCUUCGUCGAUCAAGUCAGCAGCCAAGAAGGAUAUACAUGUACCAUUA